AGCAGCCGCGGUAAUUCCAGCUCCAAUAGCGUAUAUUAAAGUUGUUGCAGUUAAAAAGCUCGUAGUUGAAUUUCGGGAUCAAUUUGCUGGUCGUGCCUCCGGUACGUACUGGUAUUUAUUGGUUUCUCCCUUCUGACUAACCAUGAUGUCAUUCAUUUGGUGUUGUGGGGAAUCAGGACUGUUACUUUGAAAAAAUUAGAGUGUUUAAAGCAGGCAUAAGCUUGAAUACAUUAGCAUGGAAUAAUGAAAUAGGACGUUUGAUCCUAUUUUGUUGGUUUCUAGGAUCGACGUAAUGAUUAAUAGGGAUAGUUGGGGGCAUUAGUAUUCAAUUGUCAGAGGUGAAAUUCUUGGAUUUAUUGAAGACUAACUACUGCGAAAGCAUUUGCCAAGGAUGUUUUCAUUAAUCAAGGACGAAAGUUAGGGGAUCGAAGACGAUCAGAUACCGUCGUAGUCUUAACCAUAAACUAUGCCGACUAGGGAUCGGAUGAUGUUAAUUUUUUAAUGACUCAUUCGGCGUACC
rnacentral:rRNA from 1 species